UACGUAGGGGGCAAGCGUUGUCCGGAAUUAUUGGGCGUAAAGAGCGCGUAGGCGGUCUGAUAAGUCGGUUGUGAAAGUCGGGGGCUCAACCCUCGGAUGCCGAUCGAUACUGUCAGGCUAGAGUCCGGAAGAGGCGAGUGGAAUUCCUGGUGUAGCGGUGAAAUGCGCAGAUAUCAGGAGGAACACCAAUGGCGAAGGCAGCUCGCUGGACCGGAACUGACGCUGAGGCGCGAAAGCGUGGGGAGCAAACAGG
rnacentral:rRNA from 1 species